rnacentral:pre_miRNA from 1 species
GAGGUACUCCCUCCAUUCGGAAUUACUUGUCUCGGAAAUGAAUGUAUCUAGAACAUCUAGAUACAUCCAUUUCCGAGACAAGUAAUUCCGAACGGAGGGAGUAGUAA